GACGAACGCUGGCGGCGUGCUUAACACAUGCAAGUCGAACGGAAAGGCUCCAGCUUGCUGGAGUACUCGAGUGGCGAACGGGUGAGUAACACGUGGGUGAUCUGCCCUGCACUUCGGGAUAAGCCUGGGAAACUGGGGCUAAUACCGGAUAGGACCGCACUUUGGUGUGUGUGGUGGAAAGGUUUUGCUGGUGUGGGGUGAGCUUGCGGCCUACCAGGUUGUUGGUGGGGUAAUGGCCUACCAAGACGUGGAAGGGUAGCCGGCCUGAGAGGGUGGACGGGCACCUUGGGUCUGAGAUGCGGCCCAGACUGCGAAGGGAGGGCACAGUGCGGAAUAUUGCCCAAUGGGGGAAACCCUGAUGCUGCGACGCCGCGUGGGGGAUGAAGGCCUUCGGGUUGUAAACUCCUUGCGUUAGGGACGAAGCUUUUUGUGACGGUACCUGGUGAAGAAGCACCGGCUAACUACGUG
rnacentral:rRNA from 1 species